rnacentral:rRNA from 1 species
CAGUAGCCGCGGGAAUACGUAGGUCCCGAGCGUUGUCCGGAUUUAUUGGGCGUAAAGCGAGCGCAGGCGGUUAGAUAAGUCUGAAGUUAAAGGCUGUGGCUUAACCAUAGUACGCUUUGGAAACUGUUUAACUUGAGUGCAGAAGGGGAGAGUGGAAUUCCAUGUGUAGCGGUGAAAUGCGUAGAUAUAUGGAGGAACACCGGUGGCGAAAGCGGCUCUCUGGUCUGUAACUGACGCUGAGGCUCGAAAGCGUGGGGAGCAAACAGGAUUAGAUACCCCGGUAGUCCCUGUCUCUUAUACA